rnacentral:rRNA from 1 species
GACGAACGCUGGCGGCGUGCUUAACACAUGCAAGUCGAACGAUGAACCCGGAGCUUGCUCCGGUGGAUUAGUGGCGAACGGGUGAGUAACACGUGAGUAACCUGCCCUUGACUCUGGGAUAACUGCGGGAAACUGUAGCUAAUACCGGAUACGACCCUCGGCGGCAUCGCCAGGGGGUGGAAAGAAUUUCGGUCAAGGAUGGACUCGCGGCCUAUCAGCUAGUUGGUGAGGUAACGGCUCACCAAGGCGACGACGGGUAGCCGGCCUGAGAGGGUGAGCGGCCAAACUGGGACUGAGACACGGCCCAGACUCCUACGGGAGGCAGCAGUGGGGAGUAUUGCGCAAUGGGCGAAAGCCUGACGCAGCAACGCCGCGUGCGGGAUGAAGGCCUUCGGGUUGUAAACCGCUUUCAGCAGGGAAGAAGCCGCAAGGUGACGGUACCUGCAGAAGAAGCACCGGCUAACUACGUGCCAGCCGCCGCCGUAA